rnacentral:rRNA from 1 species
GGCUAUGUUAGCCGGGCGACGGUUGUCCCGGUUUAAGCAUGUAGGCGGAGGUUCCAGGUAAAUCCGGUACCUUUUAACGCUGAGGUGUGAUGACGAGGCACUACGGUGCUGAAGUAACAAAUGCCCUGCUUCCAGGAAAAGCCUCUAAGCAUCAGGUAACAUUAAAUCGUACCCCAAACCGACACAGGUGGUCAGGUAGAGAAUACC